UGGGGAAUAUUGCACAAUGGGCGCAAGCCUGAUGCAGCCAUGCCGCGUGUAUGAAGAAGGCCUUCGGGUUGUAAAGUACUUUCAGUCGGGAGGAAGGUGUCAAGGUUAAUAACCUUGGCAAUUGACGUUACCGACAGAAGAAGCACCGGCUAACUCCGUGCCAGCAGCCGCGGUAAUACGGAGGGUGCAAGCGUUAAUCGGAAUUACUGGGCGUAAAGCGCACGCAGGCGGUUGAUUGAGUCAGAUGUGAAAUCCCCGGGCUUAACCCGGGAAUUGCAUUCGAAACUGGCAGGCUAGAGUCUUGUAGAGGGGGGUAGAAUUCCAGGUGUAGCGGUGAAAUGCGUAGAGAUCUGGAGGAAUACCGGUGGCGAAGGCGGCCCCCUGGACAAAGACUGACGCUCAGGUGCGAAAGCGUGGGGAGCAAACAGG
rnacentral:rRNA from 1 species